GACGUAGGGCGCGAGCGUUGUCCGGAAUUAUUGGGCGUAAAGAGCUCGUAGGCGGCUUGUUGCGUCGACUGUGAAAACCCGCGGCUCAACCGUGUGGCUUGCAGUCGAUACGGGCAGGCUAGAGUGCGGUAGGGGAGAUUGGAAUUCCUGGUGUAGCGGUGGAAUGCGCAGAUAUCAGGAGGAACACCGAUGGCGAAGGCAGAUCUCUGGGCCGUAACUGACGCUGAGGAGCGAAAGCAUGGGGAGCGAACAGG
rnacentral:rRNA from 1 species